AGAGUUUGAUCCUGGCUCAGAUUGAACGCUGGCGGCAUGCCUUACACAUGCAAGUCGAACGGCAGCACGGAGCUUGCUCUGGUGGCGAGUGGCGAACGGGUGAGUAAUAUAUCGGAACGUACCCUAGAGUGGGGGAUAACGUAGCGAAAGUUACGCUAAUACCGCAUACGAUCUACGGAUGAAAGUGGGGGAUCGCAAGACCUCAUGCUCAUGGAGCGGCCGAUAUCUGAUUAGCUAGUUGGUAGGGUAAAAGCCUACCAAGGCAUCGAUCAGUAGCUGGUCUGAGAGGACGACCAGCCACACUGGAACUGAGACACGGUCCAGACUCCUACGGGAGGCAGCAGUGGGGAAUUUUGGACAAUGGGCGAAAGCCUGAUCCAGCAAUGCCGCGUGAGUGAAGAAGGCCUUCGGGUUGUAAAGCUCUUUUGUCAGGGAAGAAACGGUUGUCUCUAAUACAGAUGGCUAAUGACGGUACCUGAAGAAUAAGCACCGGCUAACUACGUGCCAGCAGCCGCGGUAAUACGUAGGGUGCAAGCGUUAAUCGGAAUUACUGGGCGUAAAGCGUGCGCAGGCGGUUAUGUAAGACAGAUGUGAAAUGCCCGGGCUUAACCUGGGAACUGCAUUUGUGACUGCAUGGCUAGAGUUUGGCAGAGGGGGGUAGAAUUCCACGUGUAGCAGUGAAAUGCGUAGAUAUGUGGAGGAACACCGAUGGCGAAGGCAGCCCCCUGGGUCAAGACUGACGCUCAUGCACGAAAGCGUGGGGAGCAAACAGGAUUAGAUACCCUGGUAGUCCACGCCCUAAACGAUGUCUACUAGUUGUCGGGUCUUAAUUGACUUGGCAACGCAGCUAACGCGUGAAGUAGACCGCCUGGGGAGUACGGUCGCAAGAUUAAAACUCAAAGGAAUUGACGGGGACCCGCACAAGCGGUGGAUGAUGUGGAUUAAUUCGAUGCAACGCGAAAAACCUUACCUACCCUUGACAUGGCUGGAAUUCCUGAGAGAUUGGGGAGUGCUCGAAAGAGAACCAGUACACAGGUGCUGCAUGGCUGUCGUCAGCUCGUG
rnacentral:rRNA from 1 species